AUUGAACGCUGGCGGCAGGCCUAACACAUGCAAGUCGAACGGUAACAGGAAGAAGCCUGCUUCUUUGCUGACGAGUGGCGGACGGGUGAGUAAUGUCUGGGAAACUGCCUGAUGGAGGGGGAUAACUACUGGAAACGGUAGCUAAUACCGCAUAACGUCGCAAGACCAAAGAGGGGGACCUUCGGGCCUCUUGCCAUCGGAUGUGCCCAGAUGGGAUUAGCUAGUAGGUGGGGUAACGGCUCACCUAGGCGACGAUCCCUAGCUGGUCUGAGAGGAUGACCAGCCACACUGGAACUGAGACACGGUCCAGACUCCUACGGGAGGCAGCAGUGGGGAAUAUUGCACAAUGGGCGCAAGCCUGAUGCAGCCAUGCCGCGUGUAUGAAGAAGGCCUUCGGGUUGUAAAGUACUUUCAGCGGGGAGGAAGGGAGUAAAGUUAAUACCUUUGCUCAUUGACGUUACCCGCAGAAGAAGCACCGGCUAACUCCGUG
rnacentral:rRNA from 1 species